UACGUAGGGGGCAAGCGUUGUCCGGAUUUAUUGGGCGUAAAGAGCUCGUAGGCGGUUCAGCAAGUCGGGUGUGAAAAAUCUGGGCUCAACCCAGUGGAGCACCCGAUACUGCUGUGACUAGAGUCCGGUAGGGGAGUGUGGAAUUUCUGGUGUAGCGGUGAAAUGCGCAGAUAUCAGAAGGAACACCAACGGCGAAGGCAGCACUCUGGGCCGGUACUGACGCUGAGGAGCGAAAGCGUGGGGAGCGAACAGG
rnacentral:rRNA from 1 species